GGACUCGGAAUGUUAAAAGUAUUUGGUUAAUCUGCAGCCCAGUAAGGGCUAAAUUAUUUUUAAUGUAAAUCAUGAUAAAAUUUCUUUACUGUGCAAUUAUACAUAGCCUAUUGUUAGCUGAGAAAUGAGAAUUUAUAGGUUAGUAUUACAUUAUUAAAUGCAUGAGAUAGUAACUCUAAUUAGACAUGUAUUUGCUGCAAUACUGGUAUGGCUCAGUCAGUUAAGCGUCCAACUCUUAAUUUCAGCUCAGGUCAUGAUCCCAGGAUUGUUGGAUCUAUCAAGCCCUGCAUCAGGCUCUGCCUGAACAUGGAACCUGCUUAAGAUUCUCUUGUGGCAGCUGGGUAGCUCAGUCAGUUAAGCAUCUGACUCUUAAUUUUGGCUCAGGUCACGAUCUCACGGUUUGGUUUGUGAUACUGAGCCCCAAGACAGACUCCGUGCUGAAAGCAUGGAGCCUUCUUGGUAUUCUCUCUCCUUCCCUGUCUCUUUGCCUCUCCCUUGCUCACUCGUGCUGUCAUUCUCUCUCUCAAAAUAAAUCAAUUAAUUUAAAAAAAGAAAAAAAAGAUUCUCUCUCCCCUUGCCCCUCUCCCAUGUUCAUGGGCUGUCUCUCUGUCUCUCUAAAAAAAAAAAAAAAGAAAGAAAGAAACGUAUUUGCCAACUGGUAAUAUCUGUGUGCAUAGAAAAUCUCUGCAUACUACUGUAUUUUGAAAAUUAUCUCUUGAUCCAUCCCAUCUCCACCCAUUGUCCAAUUUUAGAGCUUAUUUUUUUCUGCUAUAAUUUAAAAGGUAAUUUACCAGACAAAAAACAGUUUUAAACUAUGUGCUUAACAGUCAUAUUUAUAAUAGGGAAUUUCCAUAAAACAAGUGAUUCAGUCUCAUAUGCCGUAAGGUACCCCCUUUCUCCAGUGGAGACUAGAAUGAAUUAUUCAUUAUAGUAGAUAUGUGGUCACACUGGGCACCCAUCUCCAAAGGUUAAAACUGGGUUUCACACUUCAUCCUGAAGUCCUAUGGGAAGGUUUCCAAUAUCCUCAUUCCCCUCGUUUGCACUGGCCCUGGAUUGAUUUGGGACGUGGAGUAAGGGCGGAGAUGGCAGGAGGGUUUCAUGUAUUAUAAUAGUGAUCCAGUUAAGGCAGUGAAGGAGCCUUUUUUUCAAACAUGAAGGAAACUGAAAGCCCAACAAGAGAGAAGCCACGUCACAGGACUAGAACCAACAUAAAAACAAAACCUGAGACCCACUUCUCCUAUAUCCUGUGUGAAUUAACUUUCUUUUAUGGUCUCAUUCCACCCCUACUGAAAAGCCAAACUGGGCUCUUUCCUUUCCAAAGCUGGCUCAAUAGAGAGAUUAGGCAGUGUAUCUUUUGUGUAUUUGCCUUAUUUUAUCCUAAGAGAAAGACCCCCUAGGACAGUUGACAAACUUCUGUAAAAGGUCAGAUAGUAAAUAUUUUAGGCUUUGCCAGCCUUGCGGUCUCUAUAGCAGCUAGUCAGCUCUAUCAUUGUAACACAAAAGCAGCCACAGGAAAUACAUGAACAAAUGAACAGGGCUGUGUUCUCAUAAAACUAUGAGCACUGAAAUUUAAAUUUUAUUUCUCAUGUAUCAUGAAAAAUUACUCUAAUUUUUAUUUUUUUCCCAACUCUUUAAAAAUGUAAAAAUAAUUCUCAUGGGCUAUACAAAAAUAGACUGUAGACUACAUUUUGACCCACUGGCCAUAGUGUGCUAACCCCUGCCCUAGAGGAAUAAAUCUGAGAAGACCAUAGGUGUUAAAACGUGAAGAGACAGAAUAUGAUACCUGAGGACAGAUGAUUUAAAUGUGGUAGGGGAAAUGACUGAUGGGUAUGUGUAUGCAGGGAGAGUAGAUGGAUGAUGCCCUGACUCUUGAUUCUAUUUUAGGUAAGCUGAGUUGGUACUAGGUCAAAUUCCACAUUCUCUAUUUUGAUUUACUGUCUAAAAUUUAUGAAAGGCAGGUUUUAGCUGGCCUUUGAGAAGAAAAGCAAAAAUUAGAAAAGGACAUGUGACUUGGAGUUUGCCAUAUGGUAUGCAGAACCAAUAGGACAUUUUAUUAGUAAUGGCAGCUGGUGGUUUUCGUUAUCAGUGAAUCAUUGAGAAGCUUGUCUGAAUCAGGGAGGAGGCAGUUAGCCAUAUCCCUCCUUAGCACAAACUAUUUCAUGUCGUUGUAAAGCUCUCAUAGAAUAUGUCUUGUGCGUGGUGAAAGAACCCAUAAAAAUCUGUUUUUAAGACAUAAAAGCUAUAUUGGUAAAAUUUUUAAACUCCCAUAAACUCAAAAUCAUAAAGGGCCAUUUAUUAAAACAGUGUGAAUGAUUUACGUGCAGUUGAAUACAGCUUUUGUUGUUUCGUAGGUCAACUCACCUAUAAUAAUUGCAUAACUGGUAGUGUGGUUACUUAUAACAAAGGAGUCUUAAUUAUUAUGAUAAUGAUAAUAUAAUUAACAUUUUUUGAACAGCCACUAUCUGCUGCCACCUAACAUCUAUAAUCCCAUUCAUUCCCACAGCAGCCCGGCAAGGUCGCUAUUAUUCUCCUUGAAGAUGAAAUUGAGGCCUAGUCACAUACACACAAAGUAGCAGGGCCAAAUCUAUGUCUCCCUGACAUGAAAGUUUAUGCUGUCUCCACUGUACUAUUGCCAUGAUUAAGGCCUGUGCAGACCUGGGGCUCGACUUCAGAUUUCUCUCUUCUGAUUAUGCAGCCCUCCUCUUGCAAACAAGUGCCUAUAAUUCUCCCCAUGAAAAAUCAGGGGUCUUCAUUUUUCUUAAGUGAGACUUUUGUGCCCAAAUGACUUGUGAAGCUACCAUCAGGUUCAUCAUCUUGGCAGGUUUUCAUCAUUGUUGCUACAGUCCCUGAUGGAUUUGUUAAGAAAUAUCUAAAUGUUCUUUUGGUAACAUUAUUUUUAGGAAGGCGAAGCCUUUACAUUUCCAGACAGCAGCUUGGUUGUGAAUGUGAGGAGACCACAGAACUGUAACACACUGCACAUGUUGACAAGGCUGUCUGGGCUCCUUGGCAUUACUAAUGACGAUAAUGAUCCCGUUUGGUAGAGGCAGACCCUCCCUACAGCUGGUGUCCUUUCUGCGCAGGGAUGAGGUCAUUUGGUGGGGAGGGGAGAAAUGGAGCUGAAGAGAAUGAGAGAAGAGAAGGGGAAGAAACUGUCAUGUCUGCAUUCUUGGUGGAAAAAUAGAAGCAUAUUUGCCACAUGCUUGCUUAAUUAAUUUAUUUUUUAAAUACAGGGAAUGGAGAGGCAAGGGGAUAGUGAGGAACUGUAAUAUGGUGACAGCUUGGUUUCCUCCCAAAGCUGUACAGUUAUCUGUAUACACAGUAACUGGGUAAUCAAAUCUCCAAGACACUGAUAACCCUAUGAAUUCUAAUCUCUAGAAAUUUUAAACUGCUCAGAGAAGGAUAUUCCAGCAAUCUAAAUCCCAGUAACUACUCUAGAGUUGUUUAAGAGCCCAAUUCUAGACAGUCCACUCCUCCUUCUGCCUCAAAUGUGUCUUAAAAAGAGAAAGUCAGAAUUAUUGUUCCUUUGGCAAUGUAGUUAAAGGCAUCAGAUCAUUCUUCAUCUAAUUCUCAAUGUUGUCACCAAAAGCAAUUAAACAGCCUUUUUUUUACGUUACCAGUAGUAGUCGAACUGGUGCACCAUGGGUUUAUCUAGAACUUGUAUACUUGUAUGCAUAAAAACUAUAUGUCCUUAGGGUUUGGGGUUGUUAUAGUUGGUUGUUGUUGAGGGGAGGGCUUACCAAAGAGGGGUCACUUUGUCAUUCCAAGGUAAGACCCUGGCUUAGCACACCCAGCCAGUCACAAUCAGCCAUUUGGCCAUAUCUGCGCAAGGUAAAGGAAAUGAGCCAACUCUGAUCAAAUGGGAGAAAUACUAAAGAUACUUUCAAGAUGUUUUUGAACCCUUCAGAGGAAGGGUCAUGUUUGAUUAGCCUUUGUGUCCUCCGUGCCUCAGCCAGGCCUGACAGAAAGCGCUCCACAAGUGGUGAGUGUGUGAGUGAGCCAGUGUGCCCCAUUACCCAUGGUUGAAGACUUCUGCUGUUAGCAAGUACAAAUGACCAUGAGUAAUUAUGUGGAGGAAAAAAUAAUAUUUUCUCCUAAAUGCUGGAGAAAGAGGCUGAAAGCUAAUAAAUCUAAUAGCUGCCUCUCAACAGUGCUCCUGAUGUGAGUUUUCAAGAUACAGCAUAAAGAGUACUGGACUGAAGGUCUAAAACCUCACCCUUUGGCAGGCCACUAAAAUUUCUUAACCUCAAUUUCCUCAUUGGUAAAGUGGAUAAUAACACUUUCUCUGCCUACCUCCUAUGGUUAUUUUCAGGACUAAAACCUAUUAUGGAAGAGAAACUAAUAAGAACCAUAGGAGGUAAGGUGUUGUUAUUGGCUUCUUUUGAGAAUACUAUAUCCUUAAACGUUUUUAGAAGAAAAAGGAUUUUUAAUUCUUUAAAGAAAAGGUCCUUCAAAAGCGUAUGUAUUGGUGCUAUUGUUGUUAAUUGCUGUCAAUCCCUCUUUAAAGGCAUAUUUAUUUAAAAAAAUAAUGACAGUCCUCCACUCCAUUUCUGGAAAGUUUUUGCGACUUGUCUUCAUAUUUUGUGUGUUUAAAAUCUGAAGUAUGAGGUCUUCCUUGAAAAAUACCAUUAUUAUUAAUAGCCUCUGAAGGCAGCAAGGCUUAUGAAGUUACCGACUGUGUAUGAUUAAGUGGUCACAAAUAAAACACUGGUAUUACCACAUGUAAAUUCUUUCCCUGAAGUUGGUGCCUCUACAGUGAUUCAACUAUAGUUGUCUGUCACGGGACAAUAGAAUUGUCCUUGAAAGAGCACUGCAUAUGAAGUCAAGAAACAAUGCCUUAGCUACUUUCUACUGUGGCCGUGAUCAAACCAUUUCACCUCCCUUAGCCUCUUCAGCUUUCUUAACUAAGCAUUCAGUGGCUAUCCAUCAGGGCUUUACAGCUGUCUCCAGAAGGCAUUUGAAAAGAGGGAAUGCAUUCUUUGUUGUCAAAAUGACAGGGUGGGCAAAAAAUGAUAGGGUGGAGGUAUAUUGCUAGCAUUUAGUGGGCAAAGGUAGGUCUGCUAAAUUUUCUGCAGUGAGCAAAGCAGACUCAUGAAAGGAAACAUUGUCCCCCUGCAUCAUAAAUAUGCCCUCCUAAGAAACACUGGACUAGAGCUUUUGAGAGUAAAAGGAGACAUAGUUAAUAAUACAGGAUUGUCUCAGGCAAAUUGGGAUAUAUGGAGCUUCUAGCCACAAUCCAGGUCAACUUUGGCUUGCAUUGUUUUCCAACAUUCUUGUCCAUCUUCCUCUCAAAUGACAAGAUCCCAAGGUUUGCUGAACAGCCAUUAUGGAAGGAGACAGACAAGUCUGGACCACAUACCUUCUUCCAUGGUCUCUAUUUUACCAGGAAAACUAGCAGCAGAGUUAAAGUUAGCUCACUUAGUCAUCCAAGAAAUUGGUUAUGUUUUCGUUAGAGAGCCCCCUUCCCUCACCCUCAGAGCCUUGGGCUCUGCCACCACUCAAGUGUGGCAGCUGCCUGAAACAUUUGUUUGGGGUGGGUGGGGGAAGAGGAAGAAGGGAGAGUGGAGCCAGCUCUUCCCUGCAGCUGUAGUUAACCAAAGCAAGCUGCCUACACAGACAGCUCACUCCACUUCAGGGGCCACCCUGAAGCCAUAUCUGUGGGUGCAAAGUUAUUGUGACACAUCCCACCAUGGGGUGUGAAGGGAGAAACUGCUCAUGGCAACGGAGGUACCAGAUGAUUCUUACACUACUUUUUGGACCUCCAUUUAAACAGGGAAAACAAAACCAGUUCAGGAAUUUUUUCUACUCUGUUGACACCUCAGCUAAAGAAAAUAGUCAAGUCCAGGUGGGUUUUAUGUUACUCAGCUCCUGUACAUGGACAAAGACUGGGAUUCCAGCAUUCCUGUUGAGCCCCAGGGUUUUCUCCUAGUUAAAUUUACUUUCAACUUCUUAAAUUGUAUUUUACUCUUUAGAGAAAAUCUGUUGUGCAGAAUUGUAUAAGGCUUGACAUGAUGGUCUAAACUAAUUGCUUAAAUAUGGACUUGGACAAUUGUUGAAAAGUACUUUUGUUUGUGUCAUGGAAUGAAAGUUACCACAUACACAAUAGUCUAUUUUCAAACCUAAAUGAAUUAUGUCUUAAAGGGAAUAAAAGAGUGUAGCAAAACAAAACAAAACAAAACAAAACAAAAAAAAAAAAAACCAUGAAUUUUUUAGGCCAAAAUGUCUAAACUCAACUGGAAAGAACUAUAGAAAUUUGCCUGACACUGACAGGCGGUUCUCUUUUCUCUUUCCUCUUUCUGUUUCUUUUCCCUUCUCAACCUAGCAUUUGAAGUUAAGCCUUUGGGAAUAUGUGUCUUCUCUACAUUAUAGCCAAGUGGCAAGUGUGAGCCAUGGCAGCAAACAAAUGUCUAGAUUCAUAUAGUACUACUUCAGAGGAGUAUCAUCUCUUUUGAGGGACAGACAGACCUGAUAAAGAUCAGAGGUUAGGUCUUCACUUUUCUAACUUUCCCAUGAAACCUUAGGGUUUUCCAGAACUUGCCAAAGGUGGAAGAGUCAGUUUGGGGAGGACUUUUUAAAAAAAUAACUCAGUGUUGUAGGUUAAUAAGGUACUAUAGUGUUACGUUUUUAAGAAAGUUUCUUCUUUUUACUUAUUAAUCUAUAUGUACCUCACUUCCAAAUAACAUGUAAUACAGAAGAAUAAAGUAAUUAAUUGACAGAAUUGGAGUAAUUGGAAUAUAAAGCCAGAGAUAGGAGCGGGAAACAGAAAUAUAUACUCUCUAGUCUUUUAUAGUUAUAGAAGUAAAUCACAAAUUUAGCUCCAAACUUUCUAGUGGCCUAAAUUAAAAGGGACAUGCUCUUAACCACCCAGACUGGCAUCAUGAGCAGUGUUCAGGGGCAAAUGGUUUUUUAUUUGUUUAUCCAUUUACCAACAUUUAUUUCUUGAGCACCUUCUAAUAUAUCUGGGAGCUUAUAUUGACAGAGACCUUGGGCAAUACCAGAGAAAGGAUUAGAUCUGAAGUGCUCUGUAUGAAAAUGUAGAAUCUCUUAAAAUUGAUUUUAACCAUGUUUUAAUGAUAAAAUGGAAUGUUUAUCUGUCUAUGAGCAAAUCCAAAUUACAUCAGACACAUUUUCAUGAUUUUCUUUUUUAGAGAAGUCUCUGUAAAAUACCCCAGGUCUCACUAAAUUAUCACCUGUGACCUUGGAACGUGACUGUGUGAGUACAUUUUUCUUAAAGCACAAAAGUAGCUCCCUGUCGAUGGUGUCUUCAGAGUCAGAAUUUGGUCCAGAAGCAGUUCUGGAAUGCACUGGACAAAACUCAUUGUUUUCAAAAUAUCUUAGGCAGGCAGAUCCCUUCUUGCAAAUUAUCUUAUGCCCACCUUCAAAAUAGAAAACACGUGUAAGUGAUAUUUUGUUAGUGUAAAUUUACUUUUAAAUUGUCAUAUAUUUACUUACUAUCAAGAUAGUCAUUGAGACCAAUGAAACCCUUUCCAUAAAUCAUAAAUUUGAAUGGAUGAAACUGUUUUCUGUUGACCUCAGCAUCUUAUUUUUUUUUCACAUUCUGUUUUGUUGCAGUUUUUAAAAUUCAUUUUGAGGGGCACCUGGGUGGCUCAGUCAGUUGAGCGACCGACUUCGGCUCAGGUCAUGAUCUCACGGUUUGUGAGUUCAAGCCCUGUGUCAGGAUCUGUGCUGACAGCUCAGAGCCUGGAACCUGCUUCCGAUUCUGUGUCUCCCUCUCUCUCUCUGCCCCUCCCCCACUCAUGCUCUGUCUCUCUUUGUCUCAGAAAUAAACAUUAAAAAAAAUUUUUUUUAAAUACAAAUAAAAAUAAAAAAAUAAAAUUCAUUUUGAUACUUCAGUAUAUGCUAUGCAAUUAGACUAAUCCAGAAUCUUAAAAAAAAGUCAUAAAUGAUUUUAUUUCAAAAUUGAAUAACAAAUUAAAACUAAUUGCUCACAUUGCUCAAACAUACAUUGUACAUUUUAUGUAUUACAAAUGUAUACUUUAAUAUAUUUCAUUAUCAUAGAUUUAUAAAUUUAUAUUUUAUGUUAAAUCAUAUAUUUGUAACAUGAAAUAUAUUAUAAAGUACUUUACAUAUUUGUAUAUAAAUAAAUAUUAGAAAUGUAUAAUAAAUAUAAAAUGUCACACAAGAGGUAAACACAACUUACCAAUAUACCUUUAAAUUAUAAUAUUAUCAUGACCUAUGUGUUAUGAUAAUUUUUUUGUGACAUUAUUUAGGCAACCAAUGACCAUAACUUGUGGUCUGAGAGUCCAGCUCGUACAGAGCUGACUGGGACCCAAUGAUAUACGCUUACAAUGAGCGGAUAUUGUCGAAUCUUUUCUUGAUGUGCAAUUGACUAUGGCACACAUGUGCUGUAGUAAUGUACUUCUUUGCAGUUUUAUGUGAGCAGGCAUCCACAUUCCAGAAAUCAACCAGAGAUUGAUACGGAACAAUACCCUUCCUAAUGAAUGGCGCAUUUAAGACAUUCAUUUAUGUGCCCCAGAAUUGCAGGAGGAGCUUUUGGUCCAAGGUCUAGGUAGAUGGUGGUGGUAAUGGUGGCUGGUGGUGAUGUGUGGCUAUGUGUAUGUAUCCUACUAAAACUCAGUGCAUCCAGUUGAUAGAUGGGCCUUAUGGCAUCAUUUGUGUUACUGUCACUUUGUUAACUGAACCUCUAAGUGAGACUAAUAAAGCCUCUCCCUCUCUCUGGGCUUAAAUUAGAAAUUCCAGGCUACUAUAGAAAAAGGUAAUCUAAGACAUGAAGACAAAACCAAAAGAAAAAGUGUUAACACUGAAGACCCAUGGAUAAAUUAAUGCUGUGUUUCUUUCUACAACCAAAAUAAAAAAUAAUUAUAUUUAAAAAUUUUACAAAAGCAAAAAUUAAGACUUUCCCUUCCAACAAUAAUAUCAACUUGUUUUUGAGUUUAUAUUAUAUAAGGAAAACUUUCUGUAUUUGGAAGAGCACAAAAUUAUAAAUAAAUUAAUAUUUAAUCUUGUUCUUUACAUUUAUAAAGAACUUAAAAUGCCUUGUAUUUAUUUUCUAUGGCUUGGUUUUUUCACAGAAAGGAAACUAGGUUGGGCAAGAAUAAGAUGCCUGGAAUUUUUUAAAUCUGCAAUGGGUAAUUUCCUGUAAGUGAAAUUAAAUUCAGUUCAACUCUGGGAUAAAUGCUAUGUGUAACACCGCUGGAGUUGGAGUUCUCCUGCUCUCCAUUUGGUUACCAGUCAUUAUUCCUCAUUUCUAUUCUCUUCAGAAAUGAGGGUUUUCAUGCUCCGUUGACCAUAUGCUUCCUGUGCCUUUAUCUCUUAUACCCUACAUAUUGCUCCAAUUUGGGCCAUAAUUGUAAGUCAUUGUGUAAUUCACCAUAGCAAGACUUCCAUCCCAGACAGAAGUGGCUUGAAAAGACAUAGUUUCCUAGGGCUGCUAUAACAAAUUACCACAAAUUGAAUGGCUUAUAACAGCAGAAUUUAUUCUCUCACAGUUCUGGAGGCUAGAAGGCUGAAAUCAAGGUGCCAGCAGGGCCUUGUUUUCUCCAAAGGUUCUGGAAGAAUCCUUCCUUGCCUCUUGUAAUGUCUGUUGGUUGUCAGCAGCCCUUGGGUGGUAGUGGUGGUAGUAGUAACUCCAAAAUCUGCCUCUAUCUUCGCAUGGUUGUCUUCUUUCAGUGUGUCAGUGUCCAAAUUCUCUCUUCUUAUAAGGACACAAAUCAUUGGUUAGGGCCCACCCUUAUCCACUAGGACCUCAUCUUAACUUGUUUACAUCUACAAAGGCCCUAUUUCCAAAUAAAGUCACAUUCACGGGUUCCCAGUAAACACUAAUGGGGGGAGGGGGGUGGGAGACACACACCUGAUAUAGGUAGUAAGAAUCUUGUUAAAUUCUCUCACCUCCCUGAGCAUUUAGCGGUCUUCACUUUAGCACUUUUACUUGUCUAGUCUCAAACAAAGCAUCCUUGACCUUUCCAUCCACUUUCCAUCCAUUGUCUCUUACCUGGAAAUCCAUCCAAAGCCACAGAAACCCUAACUGAUCAAUUCUUUGGUCACUGCCAUAUAGCAUAUGCUGAGCUGUAUCAUUUUAUAAAAUUGCCCCUCAGGGCCCAGUUUUGUUCUCCAGUAUUCAUAUGCAACUUCCUACUAAAAUCAAAGUAAAUUACAUGCACGUGUUUUCAAGCAUGGACUCUGGCCCACACUUCUUCCCAAAUUCUAUACUUUCUGCUUUGUACAUCUGGACAUUAGACUUAUUUAAACUUACGUAAUAUUCUCCCCAAGGCGUGAACUGUGAAGAGCUGCAUUAUCCCAGCUUCUUUUACCACUUCAGUUUCCCUAUUAUGCUAAAGGCUGGCCAAAGGUCAAAUAUUUGCAUGCUUUCAAGAUAGCAUAUAGUGUUUAAAUCCCCCUCCGUAACCAAAGUUGCAAUUAUACUAAAGAGGGGGCCCAGGGCAAAGGUCACCAACUAGCUCAGACACAACAUACCUUCCCAGAUAUGUUUUCUUUCACCUGCAUGGUGGAGUUUUAAAGAAAUUGAAUUCAUUGCAAACGAGUGCAGGUAUCACAAAGAAAUCCAGGUAUCUGGUUUUUCUUGAAAACUCAGAAGAUCUGGCAAAUUGGGGUUCACGUUUCGGCAGCUAUCCCUUCAGACAGAUUGUGGGCUCUCACCUGCACUGUGGGCCAAUCUAGAUUAAACCAUUUCAUUCAUUUAUGUUACCUGUCUGGCUGUUGGUGGCGUUUGAGCUAUCCACCCCUGGCCCAAGACUUAGGAAUUCAACCUUAAUUUUCUUCCUAAUGUGGCUCAAAUAAACUAUAUUGAACACACUGGGGCAAAGGAGAGCACAUCAUUGGUUUCCCUUCCUCCUGGUUUAUACUGUCUUUUGGCAGAUUUCCACCAACACCCCCCAGCUCAGGGAUGAGAUGCACACCUUCAGUCACAGUACAUCUGGACUCAAGAGCCUUUCCUCCCUUUUUCUGUCACUAUCUCAGGUGUUACAGUUAAGUUCAAAUGCAAGAAUUGAAAUUUUCAAACAUGGAAGGUAAUUUCAAACUCAAUCUCAAGUUACUCUGUUGAGGUUGGAUUUCAUUAAUCACAGCACAUGCCCUUCCUGAAACUUUUAAAUGUGCUUUGCUAGCCUGUGGAACCUCUUUUGGCCCUUUGACUUAUCCUUUCUGCUUCCACAUUCCACCAUUUACCUCUUGGCCCACACUAUUUUGACUUCAGAUUAGAAUCAUUUUUCUGGAAGUCUCAUGUCUAGACUCUUACCAGUGUCUUCCCUGUAGACACUGGUCUUGCCCUAUAGAACAUCUCUGGGCAACCCUUAUCCUGGGCUUAGGGUCUCCCAAUUCUCCCUGUCCUGUUCUCAUCACAUCAGUGAUGUGUUUCUUACACUCAUAGUGUUUCCUGAGAGGGCUGUCACCUCAAGCACUGACUUUGGGAUCCUGAACAGUGCCUCUCUAGCUUUUCUUGGAAUCAUUAGUAUCACUAAAAACCCUCUUAUUUUUUCAUUAUCCCCAAUGCCAUUGGCACACCCAAUUAAUUCAUCCCAUGGAGUAUUAUAUUCACUGUAUGACUGAUGUUGCUACAUGGUCCUUUUCAGAAUUCGCAGGACAUAUUAUCAUGUUAGAACAUUCCCCAUGUGAUGGUAGGAAAACCCUAAUUUGUGUUUCCUUGAAUAUUUAUAAAUCCUAAAAGCCCCAUCUUUACCUUUAUUUUAAAGCUUCAUGGGAUUUAUGAUUAUAAAAGUAACAUGUUCAUUGUAGAGAAUGUAGAAAAUACACAAAGAUAGUAAGAUAAAAAUAAAAAUUACCUAUAACUAUACCAUGUAGAGACAACUACUGUUAACAUCUUGCUAUGUUCAUUUUCACAUUUACAUUUUAAUCUCUCCCUGUCCCAACUCUUCAGUUCUCAAACACUCUUGAGAGAAGGGUAAUUUUUGUGACUAUCCCAAAAAUUUAGAAAAGAGUUCUAUAACCCAAGGAAAUUCUAGUCUUAACAUUUCAUAAUGUUCUCAAUAUUGUACACAUUCCUGCUUGUUUUAUGUUAAAUUAUUUAGCCUUCUACAAUAUGAUAAACAUUGGAUUUUUUUUUUAUCAUUACCCCCAAGGAAUCCAAAGAUUAUCUCUAUAAUCCUCUCAUUUUUCUGAUAUGAUAGAUUGUAUCAUGGGCAACCCAUGUGUACAGAGCCCUGGCUUAGGCUUUUCUUAUGGACUGAAUUGUGUACCUUGUCACCCCAAAUUCAUAUGUUGAAACCCUCCGUCUCCUCCCAAUGUGAUAGUAUUAGGAGGUGGAGCCGGUAGGAGGUAAGUAGGAUUAAAUGAAGUCAUGAAGAUGGAGUCCUCAUGAAUGGGAUUAGUGCCUUAUAAAAAUCAUAAGAGAGAUUGCUUCCUCUCUUGGCUCUCCACUAUGUGAGGAUAGAGAAGUCAGCAGUCUGCAUUUGGAAGAGGGCCGUCACCAGAACCUGACCAUGCUGACACCCUGAUCUUGGACUUUCAGCCUCCAGAACUGUGACAAAUUUCUGUUCUUUGUAAGCCUCUCCGUCUGUGGUAGUCUAUUAUAGCAGCCCAAACUAAGACAGCAUUCAAGGAAGAAGAUCCUGACCGAUCCAGUUGUGAAUAUAAGACACAGAUAAAAGAAGGUUCAUGCUUACCCAAAGUCAUGAGUGUCAACUAUGACAGACCAAGAUCUUAAGCUAGGGCUUGAAAGGGAGGAAAAGAUAGGCAACAAAGAAGAAAGCUAUUUAGGUAUAUUUUACAAUGGAAAAGUGUUAGGGUACCAAGAAUUAUUGCUGACUGAGAAUGUAGCAAGACCCUGGCUGGAAACCAAGUCUGACUCUCAGCUCUGGGAUUUCCUCACAACAUUUUCAGCUGAUGAACUGACAAACCUCCGAUACAUCAUUCCAUAAAUAUUGUUAAAUACUCUAGACCUAACAUUUACCUUUUAAAAUUUUUAUGAGAGGCUUUUUAGAAACUUUUAUUUAAUAACCUAGAAAUAUCUAUAUUAAACCAAGGUAAAUCAAUAUUAAAAUAAAUUAAUUGCGGUUAUUGAAUGCUUACUAGCUGAUGAUGCAAAAAAUAAGGAAAGUUCAUAACAUACUCUAGUUGAGCUAAAUAAAGAUACCAUUCCAACAUUUUAACAUCUAGGUGAGAAGUGCUUUUAGCACUUGCUGGCUUAUGUGCUAGCGAUUAACAAUGGUGUUAUAAUGUAAUUAACACAGUUAAUGUUGAGUGUAUAGGCAGUUGUAAACAAAUCUCAUUUGUCUCAUUCCACUGGACAUCUGUACAAUCAGGUGACAGCACCAGACCAUUACAAAAAAUGAACAGGUGAUAUGCCCAUAACUUUGUAGUAGCUCUGUAAGAAGAAGUGAUGAUUGGAUUUCUCAGGGUGGCAGAUUGUAAUGGAAAGCUCUGGACCUGGAGCCAGGAAGACUGGUGCUGGCAGAGCCAACAUUUAUCUGUUAUAAUUUUUGCAUAUCAUAUGCUUUCUUUACUUCUCCAUUAAACUAGAUACACUCUGAAGAUUCCUGAAGUUCUAAUAUUCUGCAAUUUUGCAUUCUCCAAGUGUGUCUGAUUGUUCUACAGGAAACCAAGAAUGCAGUGAGAUAUUACUUUAAGGAAAGAUGACGUGAUCUCUAGUACUGAGCUUCUUGUCCAGCCUUAGGCAUGUCAGUUUCAGAUACUCAUUACAUCAUCAGGGAAAAAGGCCAAUAAAAGCCUAGACUUCUCAGGCUGUAGAAUCUGCUUAUAAAUUGGAAUGGACAGAGUAGCUGCGGUUUUUCCAAACUCAUGUUCUUGGGUAUUACUAAAAUGCAUUUUAUGUGCUGCAUCUUGUUAAAGUUUUCGUGAUAUGUCCCUGUAAAAGUCUGCUGGCCUUCUGCAAGCAGGGAACAUGCCUUUGGUUAUCUGUUACCAGUUAGCUCAGUUGGUUAAAAUCCAAGGCUGUGGGAUCAGUCUCCAUAUGGGACAGUUGGCUUCAUGCAGAGCAGCCCCCGCUCACCCAACUGGUUCAGAAAUGUGUGCAUUUGACCACAGAGGACAGAGGUGUGGGUAUGGCUGGCUCAGCAUAACCUAUUCCUCCUACUGGAAAAUCACUCAGAGCCCAUGUUCUUCUGGCAAAGGUCACUGACGUCAACCUUGUUUAGAAUUACCAACUAUGAGCACACUGCCAAGCCAAUUUAUGUAUUCCUUGAAGAUCCUGAUGACCUUUCACCCAAAUGACCAUAUAAAUCUUUCUACAUUUUGAAAGACUCCGAUGAAAAUAGCAUGUUAUUGAAGGCUCUCUGACAGGUGCUGUGCUAAGUAUCUCACACAAUCUCUCACUCACACCUCAGAGUAAUCCCAUGCAAUAUGUACUGUUUUUAUUCUUCUUUUGCUGGUGAGGAAAACAUGGCUGGAAGAAGUUAUCUGUCCCAAAUCCACUGACUGGCAAAGCCAAGGCUCCAGUCUAAGUGUGUCUGACCCCAGAGCCUAUGCUCUGACCCACUCUCCUCUACUCCCUCUCUCACCAAACUGCACAGUUUGGGAUUUUAGAAGCUGUGAUAAGCUCCUAACUAUGGGAUGAAACUUGCUACAACACAUGCUGAUAAGGCAUAUGGGUUUUAAGUUGUAAUUUCUUGAAAUGAAAAAUGAGGUCACCUCUUUUCUCAGAGGAAACCUAACAAACAGUCAAGUGAGGCAGAUGUCUACUCUUGGAUGCUUCUGCAAGUUUCCCGUUUGUAACCUCCUUUUUGCCCCAGCAGCUUGAGAUACAUCCUAAAUCUAAAGCUUUGCUCAGCUUUAGUUCCUCAAACUUCUAGUUCAAAUACAAACUCUCAUAGUGGACAAAUUGAAAGUCUCUCCACUUCUUUUCUUCUCUGAAUCCCCCAGCAACUCACCAUCAACUUAGUUCACUUUAUAUCCUCAAACCCAGAGGCAUCAACAGAUCAGUCAGACCAAUUUUUCCUGAUCUGCUCAGCAGUAAAACCGCAGAGGCAUUUCAGUGGAAGGGGGAAACCAUAAAACCUCCCUCAUUAGGACACUGAGUUAAGCUUGAUUUGUCCCCUGGAGCCACAGUUUCAUCUGUGAAGUUUAACCUAAAGUUUAAUCAUUGAGCAAUGUGUUUAGUAUUCUGGAACUCUGUUCUUCCUGACCUUGUGAACUUCAUCCACACUUGAGCGGAAAGGGGAAGCUUGGAUGCAUGCAGAAGACAUUUGGUACAAGUACAGGAAAAAGCUCUUGAUAAUAUGCAGCUCUUACUGUGUAUUUCUUUUCAGACUUUGUAGAUGGACAUUAAAUGAAGACUGCCUUUAGGGUAAUUUCUCUUUUCCCUAAUCAGCAGUACAAAGUUAAGGCUCAAAAAUUCAUGGUUUUCCUUUAAAAAAGUCAUACUGACUCAUUUCACUAUUGACACAGUACAGUAUACUCAGAGUUGACGAGCCUCCAGAUAAUCUAAGUUGUUUCUGUUGUCCACCUUCUGGGAAGCCAUCAUUUUAAAAACAAAAUACCUCUUAUAAGUUUCUAAAAGAGCUUUAUAAAGCACUGCCAUUUAACACUAUUAAAGAACAAGAUCUUCCAUUUCAUUCUUUUUGAGGUAUUGAAAAACCCUUCGCUCACGUGUCUUUACCCUCACCUCCUUUUAUCCUCAUCUCCCUGAUCCAUCACUAUCAUCUGCUUUUUCACUUGUGGCCUUUCUUCCUUCUAUUCAAGAAGUAUUUUUCAGCACCUGUUACGUAAAUUGCACUGUGUAGGCACCCAGGAAGUGAGGAGGUGAAGACAAAGGCCUUGUCCUCCAAGGACUUAAGGUGUGGUUCUGAGGCUGCAUGUUUCAACAGUUGGGGGAGACAGAGAGGUGUGCAAGGGAGUGGGAAGAGGCCAGGUCCAGGACAGAGAGGUGAUUGGGACCAUGCCAGAGCAGAAGGGACACAGCACUUCUGAAGGGAUCAGUCAUUAUGCAGCCCCUGCUUAUUGAAACCAUCCUGGAAUGCUGACCCAGAAGUCAGAGCUUCCAGUUUGUCAAGAGAAGUCAGAAAUCCAGAUUUUUAUUAUGUGCCAUCUCCAGAUUUUUUUUUUUUAUGCUGGCAACUAAUUCAAAUUCUUCAAAAACAUUGUGUAGGCCAAACAAAACAUGUAUCUGGGCUGAUUUCAACCCAUGGUCCUCCAAUUUAGGGAGUUCUGGUCUGGUUAGUGAGGUAAAUCACACAUGUAUGAAAUCAUUAAUUUAAAAUGCAGCCCAUAUGGCUAAGAAUCAUAAUGAGUGACACAGACCAUUCCUGCUAGAGUUCAGAGAAAGGAAAAGGAGGACUGGGGAGAUGGGAGGAUGAUGGGCACCAGGUGCUCCAGCCCCAGCUGUGCUGGACAUGUUGAGGGGCAGUGAGGAAGCUGGAGGGUAUGUGUUAGGAAUUUGGUUGACCCACUGAGGUCAGGUGGUAGACGGCCUCCAAGGCCAGACUGCAGAGGCUGGACUUUACCUUCUGUGUCAUGGGGAACCACUGAGGAUUGGCUAAUCUGCAAUUUUAGAAAGUAAAAUAAAAUCUGUUGGUGGGUAAAGGGGCAAAGUAGCAUGCAAGGAGAAACCAUCAGGAGACUCUUCCCACAGUGUUUUCCUCUGACUCUUACACCCCUCUACAGCAUAUCCCAAAACUUUCCACCUAGGCACUUCUAAGAAAGAAGCCUCCCUGUAGCAGGGUAGCUUUGAAGUAUGCCAGUGCCCUAAACCAGAACAGUAAAAUGAAAUCAGACCAAGUUAGAGUGCCACCCCUGACCCAAAGGGGGGGGAAAAACCUUAGCUGCCACCUCUCAUUGAGUGAAAACCACUGUUUAAAAAAGAAAUAGAGUAUCUCUUUGAGCCAUACAGACCUAUAUAAUAAGAUCUAUCUAGGAGAAGCCACAGAUCUAUGUAGCUCUAAAAUGGGGAUGCGAAGGUGCAGAACUACAUUCUCAUUAGGUACAUGAGUUAUUCAGCAGGAGCUCAGCAGUACCCAGAGUCAGAAACCACAUACACACUUUGCCCUAACAUUUAUUAGCAAAGUUUUCUUAAGGAGCCAAUAGAUGUGCAUAGAGAAAGUGGCCUUUCUUUUCAAUCAAAGCAGAAGGACACUAUUAGAAAAAAAGAAAGAAAGGACACAAAAUAUUAGGUAUUAUAUUAUAUAUAGCAAUCUUCCAGAUAUACCUAAAAGUACCAAAAAUGAGUCAUCCCUAAGACCCAGUUGAGUGUGUUUGUGAGAUGAUGGACUCACCUUGUUACCUGGGCCCCACCUCUGGACAGUGGGAGUUGGUUAGUCUAAGGUGGGGCCAAACACAUGGACUUUUGAAAAUCUUCACACGUGGUUCAGGACCCUACCGUGAUUGUGCUUAAAGACAAUAUUUGGCUGAUACAGGCAAUUGUUGGUUAUUCCAGAUCUGAUUAUGCAGGGUAUUAAUUUUCUAGGCCCUUGUUUUACUUAUUCUUCUCUUUCUACUUACAUUUUCAUCAUUUUAUUUCUAAUCAGUACUCUACCAGAGAACGAGAAGAGAAAGAGAAAAAAGCCAGAGCUGGUUUUUUAAAAAUCAUUUUAACCUCAUAAUAAAAGCAGUAAUCAUAAUUACAAUACAAGUAACAACAGCUAACAUUUCUUAAACAUUUAUUACAUUCCAGGCACUGCCUAAAGGUCUUACACAUAUUAAUUCCUUUAGUCCUCACCAACUGUAUAAGGUACAUGCCAUUAUCUUUCUGAUUUUGAGCUGUUAAAACUAAACCACAGAAAUAUUAUUAUAUUUACCUAAUGUCCCACAAUUUAGAAGGAUCAGAGGCAGUAUUUGAACUCAAGAAGACUAACUCUGGAGCCUUCACUUUUUUUGGGGGGGGGGGUGAAAUAUAUAUAUACACGUAUAUAUAUAUACAUAUAUAUGUGUAUAUAUAUAACAUAAAUUUAUUAUUUUAACUGCUUUUAACUAUGAAAUUUAGUGGCAUUAAGUCCAUUUACAUUGCUGUACAACCAACACCACUAUCCCGUCUCCAAAACUUUUUCAUCUCCUCAAAUUAAGAGACUUCAUUUUUAAAUACCACUCUAUAUUUCCUCCCCAGUAGUACUUAAAGAUCUGGAAAUGUUCACUGUUUGUGGUGAUUCUGUCUUCUUUUAACACAGACAAUUUAAUAUUUUUUUCAGUCUUGGCAUCCCUUACUCUUCACUUGUCAUGUGUGCCACCGACUGUCCCUGACACAGUCACACCAGCCUGUUGAAGCUUCAACAUGCUACUGUCUCUUCCCAGAUAUUUGUGUGCUGGCACCUGCACGGGCAAUGACAGCUGCAUCACCUCUUCUGGCUCUCUUUUGAUGUUGAUUCUAACAUGCAUCCAAAUCUCAAAAAUCUUAACACUAUAAAAGUUUAAUAGUCAUGUAUCUGACUUAGGCUUGAGGAAAUCCAGUCUUCCAGGCUGAUACGUCACUGUGAAGUAGCUUUGUUUUGGUUCCACGGUAUUCACCCUACCACCAUUGUACUCCACACCUCAUCCCUUCCAGCCUAGAUUACUGUCAUAACUGGUCUCCCUGUUCUCCAUACUGGACAUCACGAAACCUAUAAUCUUGAGCAGCUUGUCAAGUCUCUCGGAACCAGUAAACCUUUUGUUCAAUAGGAGAGGAGCAUAGAAAUAGAUAAGUUUCCUUUUGAUUCAUUAAACAGAUUCUAGGAAUUCUCAGACAUCCUCAAGGUGGAAUUUGGGGGUCAUUGCUGCUAAAAUGAAAAGAACUUAAGAUAGACUUGUCAUUAUUUCUUUGUCAUUAUUUUACCACUUGGCUUCUUGUUCUCUUUACUGCUGAGGUACCAGUACCCUCACCUGCUACUUGUUGGCCAUCUAAAACCUUUUCACCCCAAUACUCUGUUCUAGUUGCUCCCUAAUAGCUCACAGUAUUUCUUCUCCUUUUUCCCUUUCUCCCCAGUUUUAAGAAAAUUGAACAGAAAAUUUAACAAUUGGCCCAUUGUUAAUAAUGAUUUCAACAAACCAUUAAAGAUGUGAAUGUGCUUACUACUUUAUAUCUGAAUAGCUGUAUUAUUUCUGUGAGUGUAAUUAUUAAUGUUUUAUCUGAAUAGCUUACUACUACAAUUAAAAGAAUGGUGACCUUAAUUUUCUUACAUAUGUAUACUAAAAGGAAGUUUAUAAAACAAGUUUCAAGACUCCUGAACUUCUAUCCCACCCUGAACAAUUAGCAACCAAAGUGCAGAGAUGAAUACUUUCUUGUCCAGAGUUUCACAGUCUUUUAGAAAAUAUUUUAAGGUUUAUUGUAAUUGGGGGACUUGACUUUUUUCUUUUUUUAACUUUUCAUCUUUAAAAAACAAGUUGACCAGCUAGUUUUUUAGUUUUGAUUUUGUUUUGGGUUUUGGGUUUUUGUUGUUGUUUAUUCAAUUUUAUAAGGUCACAAGAAAAGUCAGCCUACAUAAAACCUCAUCAAAACUCUGGACCUCAAGGCACAGAGGAAAACUAAUUUUUAAAAGCAUCUCAUUUCUUCUCUCUGCAAAGAGGGCUCCAAAUAAAGAGAUAAACUGGUUUUCCUGUUAUUUGAAGUAUGGAUAAGUAACCUAAUCAAAUGCUAAAAUCUUUCCACAUGUUUUCCCCCUAGGCUAUCACAAAUAAAUGCUGUUGACCAUAGCUAUUGCCAGUACUGAAUGCUCACACCUUAGACUGGAAGGGUGCUUCUUCUAGGCCUCCUCUCAAACUCAACAUCCUGAACCUUCUUGAACCCUUGUUUUAUUUUGUUUUGUUUUUAUUUUGUUGCUUCUGAUUUCAUAAAUCUUAGAGGAAUGGACAUUUUGGAAGUGAGUUUGAGUCUGCUAUAAACCUUAACGAGCCCUUAAAUUUCUUUCUAGAGCUACAGGAUUUUCUUGAGAAUGUUAUUGGGAUAUGGUGGAUUGGAAAGACAGAGGAUGUAUCAAAGUAAACAUUUUAUGAGCUACUGCUUUGCAGUUUAAUUUACAAAGUAGACAAAACCUCUGAGUAUUUCCUGUAUGUCUUAAAGGACAAAUUUGUCACUAGUUCCCCAGCCCCACUGCCCCUCUUUAUCCAACUACCCACCCCCCAACACACACACACACAC